AAAGUGUUAAGUUAAGAAAACUGAAGACCUUCAAAGUCUUUUUUGGUGAGAACCAUACUUUA
rnacentral:tRNA from 1 species